rnacentral:rRNA from 1 species
AUUGAACGCUGGCGGCAGGCCUAACACAUGCAAGUCGAACGGAGAGGCGGACGGGCGAGCAAUGUCUGGGAAUCUGCCUGGCAGUGGGGGAUAACGUCCGGAAACGGGCGCUAAUACCGCAUACUACCCGAUGAGCCUAGGCCGGAUUAGCUAGUUGGUGGGGUAAAGGCCUACCAAGGCGACGAUCCGUAACUGGUCUGAGAGGAUGAUCAGUCACACUGGAACUGAGACACGGUCCAGACUCCUACGGGAGGCAGCAGUGGGGAAUAUUGGGCAAUGGACGAAAGCCUGAUCCAGCCAUGCCGCGUGUGUGAAGAAGGUUUUCGGAUUGUAAAGCACUUUAAGUUGGGAGGCGUUACCAACAGAAUAAGCACCGGCUAACUUCGUGCCAGCAGCCGCGGUAAUAC